rnacentral:rRNA from 1 species
UGUCGGAGAGCUAUAUAUUACAUACAACUUUCAACAACGGAUCUCUUGGCUUUCGCAUCGAUGAAGAACGCAGCGAAAGUGCGAAACGUAAUGUGAAUUGCAGAAUUCAGUGAAUCAUCGAAUCUUUGAACGCAUCUUGCGCUCUUCGGUAUUCCGAGGAGCAUGCCUGUUUGAGUGUCGUGACAAUCUCUCGACCUUCCCCUCGCGCUCGCGUUCGGAGGGUCGGAUUUUGGACGUUGCCGUCUUUCAUCGAAGAAGGCUCGUCUCGAAAUGCAUUAGCCUCGUUCCGGCCUCGGUCCUUCCAACAAGACGAUAUGGCGCGAUAAUGAAAAAACUCGCUGGCGUCGGUGUCGGGCCUUGGACGGGGUGGGCUCACAGUCGUCUCCGGACAAUUUCCCUCGAUCUGACCUCAAAUCAGGUAGGACUACCCGCUGAACUUAAGCAUAUCAAUAAGCGGAGGAAAGGAAACUAACAAGGAUUCCCCUAGUAACGGCGAGUGAAGCGGGAAGAGCUCAAAUUUGUAAUCUGGCGGUCUCAG